GAACCGUCCAAACGUUAUUCGGAAUCAUUGGGCUUAAAGGGUGCGUAGGCGGUGCGGUCAGUUGGGUGUGAAAUCCCUCGGCUCAACCGAGGAACUGCGCCCAAUACUGCCGCGCUCGAGGGAGACAGAGGUAAGCGGAACUGAUGGUGGAGCGGUGAAAUGCGUUGAUAUCAUCAGGAACACCAGUGGCGAAGGCGGCUUACUGGGUCUCUUCUGACGCUGAGGCACGAAAGCUAGGGGGAGCGAACGGGAUUAGAUACCCCGGUAGUCCUAGCUGUAAACGAUGAGCACUUGAUCGGAGGCUCCUCCCAUAGGUUUCCGGUCGUAGCGAAAGUGUUAAGUGCUCCGCCUGGGAGUAUGGUCGCAAGGCUG
rnacentral:rRNA from 1 species